GAGGGUAUAGCUUAGUGGUAGAGCACGUGCUUAGCACACACAGGGUCCUGGGUUCAUUUCCAAGUACCUCCA
rnacentral:tRNA from 1 species